rnacentral:rRNA from 1 species
GACGAACGCUGGCGGCGCGCCUAACACAUGCAAGUCGAGCGAGAACCAGGACUUCGGUCCUGGGGACAGCGGCGAACGGGUGAGUAACACGUGGAUAACCUGCCCUCGGCACCGGAAUAGCCCGGGGAAACUCGGAUUAAUGCCGGAUAGCCCCACAUCCCUGCGGGGAACGUGGGAAAAGGUAGCUUCGGCCUCUGGCCGGGGAUGGGUCCGCGGUGGAUUAGCUUGUUGGCGGGGUAAUGGCCCACCAAGGCGACGAUCCAUAGCUGGUCGGAGAGGACGAUCAGCCACACUGGGACUCAGACACGGCCCAGACUCCUACGGGAGGCAGCAGUGGGGAAUCUUGCGCAAUGGGCGAAAGCCUGACGCAGCGACGCCGCGUGCGGGAAGAAGGCCUUCGGGUUGUAAACCGCUUUCAGGGGGGACGAAGCCACUCGGGUGAAUAGCCCAGAGGGUGACGGUACCUCCAGAAGAAGCCCCGGCUAACUACGUGCCAGCAGCCGCGGUAACAC